rnacentral:lncRNA from 1 species
CUUGGAUCUAUGUCUUGCAAGACUAACACAAUAAAUACUAUUUUUCUUCAAAUUCUAAGAUCAACAACCACUUUUUUUUCAACAAUAUAUGGAGAUGGUGAAGAACACCAAGAACAUAAACUUUGAGUCUUGAAGUUCUAAGGUUCAAGUUGGACCUCCCAAACAACAACAACAACUUCCCAAGCUUAAAUUCCACAACACAAUCUCCACAAUACACGUUCAAAACUUGAACCAACAACACAUCACAAGUUCAAGUCUCGAACCCGCAACAACAAU